rnacentral:rRNA from 1 species
AGAGUUUGAUCCUGGCUCAGGAUUAACGCUGGCGGCGCACAUAAGACAUGCAAGUCGAACGGAAGUCGUUGUAAUGAUUUUGACAUGAACAGAGAACUUGUUCGAAGGAAUUGAAGAUUGACUUACAACAAUGGCUUUAGUGGCGGACUGGUGAGUAACACGUAAGCAACCUGCCUAUUAGAGGGGAAUAACAGCGAGAAAUCGUUGCUAAUACCGCAUAUGCCAUAGUAAUCACAUGAUUAUAGUGGGAAAGGAGUAAUCCGCUAAUAGAUGGGCUUGCGUCUGAUUAGUUAGUUGGUGGGGUAACGGCCUACCAAGACCGCGAUCAGUAGCCGGACUGAGAGGUUCAACGGCCACAUUGGGACUGAGAUACGGCCCAGACUCCUACGGGAGGCAGCAGUCGGGAAUAUUGCGCAAUGGAGGAAACUCUGACGCAGUGACGCCGCGUAUAGGAAGAAGGUUUUCGGAUUGUAAACUAUUGUCUGCAGGGAAGAAAAAAGACUGUACCUGCAAAGAAAGCUCCGGCUAACUACGUGCCAGCAGCCGCGGUAAUACGUAGGGAGCAAGCGUUGUCCGGAUUUAUUGGGUGUAAAGGGUGCGUAGACGGGAAAUUAAGUUAGUUGUGAAAUCCCUCGGCUCAACUGAGGAACUGCAACUAAAACUGGUUUUCUUGAGUGCAGGAGAGGAAAGUGGAAUUCCUAGUGUAGCGGUGAAAUGCGUAGAUAUUAGGAGGAACACCAGUGGCGAAGGCGACUUUCUGGACUGUAACUGACGUUGAGGCACGAAAGUGUGGGGAGCAAACAGGAUUAGAUACCCUGGUAGUCCACACUGUAAACGAUGGAUACUAGGUGGUAGGGGGGUAUUAAGCCUUCUGUGCCGUCGCAAACGCAGUAAGUAUCCCACCUGGGGAGUACGACCGCAAGGUUGAAACUCAAAGGAAUUGACGGGGGCCCGCCAAGCAGUGGAAUAUGUGGGUUUAAUUCGAAGCAACCCGAAAAACUUUACCAGGGCUUGGCUAUAUCCGGGAUAACUAAAAAAUUAUUUUGUCUUCCGAACCUGUAACAGGGGGGCCAGGGUUGCCCCACCUCCGGCCCGAGAAUUGUGGUUAAUCUCCCACAAGCGCACCCCCGUUUCAUUUCCCACCUGAAAAAAGGGAACUCUAGAGAGACUGCCGUUGAUAAAACGGAGGAAGGUGGGGACGACGUCAAAUCAUCAUGCCCUUUAUGUCCUGGGCUACACACGUACUACAAUGGCUAUCACAGAGGGAAGCGAAAGAGCGAUCUGAAGCGAAACUCAAAAAAGUAGUCUCAGUUCGGAUUGCAGGCUGAAAUUCGCCUGCAUGAAGCCGGAAUUGCUAGUAAUGGCAGGUCAGCAUACUGCCGUGAAUACGUUCCCGGGCCUUGCACACACCGCCCGUC